UUUUAUUAAGACACACAUCAGCUGUGUUUUAACCAGAGUAACAGUUACUUUCCACAUUUUCACAUGGAACAAUUCACAUUUGUAAUCAUGCAUAAAAUCUUCACACUGUUUUAUUUACUUUCACAGGCUGAACAGAGACGUGAGUAUAAACCCCUUUUCUGUGCUAGUGAUGUCUUGAUGCUGCAUGAAUAAUAUAUUUAUUGUUCAGAUGAAAUAGAUUAGACUGUGCUGUGUGUUCAGAGUGCAAUAGCACAUAGAUAUCUGAGCAUCAUGAGCAUAGUGUAGUGAACACAACAGACUGUGAUCUCUAACAGAACAUUCAUCAUGCUGGUGUCUAGUUUGUAAUUUAGUGUUGUACAGACACAGAAAUCUGACCUACACACUGAUACUGAGAGAGAAAAAGCUGAAGGUUUUAUAACAAACAGUCAUUAGUUAUAAAAACACCUCAUGAAGUCUUUCAUUAUUUAACAUAAACUAUUUAUAAUGAUUCACUAUGUGUUAUAUUUUAUAAAAAGAGUUAAAAUUGUAGCUGAACAUCUUUGAAAGCACAGAGUGAAGAUUGUUUAUCAGCUGUUCUGACUGUAAAUCAUAAGUUUUUCUCAUUGUAUUUUAUCUAACAUUACAUUUCUCUCUGUUGCUUUACAUGAUACUUCUCACAGAGUUGGCUGAACAGAGACGUGAGUAUAAACCCCUUUUCUGUGCUAGUGAUGUCUUGAUGCUGCAUGAAUAAUAUAUUUAUUGUUCAGAUGAAAUAGAUUAGACUGUGCUGUGUGUUCAGAGUGCAAUAGCACAUAGAUAUCUGAGCAUCAUGAGCAUAGUGUAGUGAACACAACAGACUGUGAUCUCUAACAGAACAUUCAUCAUGCUGGUGUCUAGUUUGUCAUUUAGUGUUGUACAGACACACAAAUCUGACCUACACACUGAUACUGAGAGAGAAAAAGCUGAAGGUUUUAUAACAAACAGUCAUUAGUCAUAAAAACACCUCAUGAAGUCUUUCAUUAUUUAAUAUAAACUAUUUAUAAUGAUUCACUAUGUGUUAUAUUUUAUAAAAAGAGUUAAAAUUGUAGUUGAACAUCUUUGAAAGCACAGAGUGAAGAUUGUUUAUCAGCUGUUCUGCCUGUAAAUCAUAAGUUUUUCUCAUUGUAUUUUAUCUAACAUUACAUUUCUCUCUGUUGUUUUACAUGAUACUUCUCACAGGGGAGGUAAGUAAAUAACUCGACUUCACACUAAUAGUAAAAGCUGAUAUUUUAUAAACUUAUCACAUAUAUUACAUUUUAAUCCAGGAAUCAAAUAGAAACAUAAAGAUGAUAUUCAGAUCAUGUUUAUGUGAAGGAGUCUGAUCAGUAAGUGAGAUUCCACUUCCAUCAGUCAGCUUCUUUCCCACAAUGCACCUGUGUGUAACCUCACUGCAGUGUAAUAAUGUACAGAGACGUUUACCGUGUCGAGUAAAAGACACAACAAACACGCAGCAUAUAACACACACCACUGACAGACUCCAUCAGAAUGUUACACAAUAAACAUAAAUCACAGCUUUAACAGUUUUCAGUGUUUGUAGACAGAAUAAUUGUCAUCAGUCGCUCUGCGUAACAAUCACACCAUGUUUUG